rnacentral:rRNA from 1 species
AAGAGAGUGCAAGAGAACGUGAAACCGGUGUAAUGGAAGCAUAUGGAGUUGACGUAUCUGGUGCGUAUUCAAUUGUUGGGCGCGGCGAUUGCUGGCGUUGUCAUUCCGCAAGGUUGGCGCGUUGGUAUUGUUGUUGUGUUCGGCGAUGCAUUUGCGUACGGAGUGCGCCGGGUUGUGCGACGACGUCGGUCGAAGCUGUUUUAGAGGACAUGGCUUCGGCUGUGAACCCUGAUGCGGUGUAGGCCGGUUGUUGGUGCGCAGCUUUGUGGAGGAGCGGGUUUUUCGUGCGGGCGUUUGUUGACCAGGCUGGUUCGUGUUGUACUCAUGCGUGCGGCGCUUAUGGGCAUGGUCGGCGGGCGUUCGUGCUCUGCUCUCUUCCCGGUGUAUAGUCAAUGACCCAUUUGACCCGUCUUGAAACACGGACCAAGGAGUUUAUGGUAUACGCGAGUCAUUGGGCUUACGAAACCCAAAGGCGUAAUGAAAGUGAGAUCUUAUUGGUUUUAAUGUGAUCGGUUGUUGUUUCGACGGCAGCCGAGCAACAUUGCCCCGUUUCGAGGACUUGUCCUGUUGCGGAGGUUGAGCGUAUGCUAUGAGACCCGAAAGAUGGUGAACUAUGCCUGAACAGGAUGAAGCCAGAGGAAACUCUGGUGGAAGUCCGAAGCGGUUCUGACGUGCAAAUCGAUCGUCUGAUUUUGGUAUAGGGGCGCAAGACUAAUCGAACCAUC